UAGGAGGAAAUGUGUCAGUGUUGGGGUGGGUUCUGAGAUCCUACGCUCAACUCUGCCCAGUGCAGAAGAGAGGGUCUGUCUCAUCUCCUGGCUGCCUUCAGACUAAGAUGUAGAACCUCAGCUCCUUCUCCUGUGUUAUGCCUGCUUGAUGCUGCCAUGUUUCCUGUUGUGAUGAUGAUGGAGAGACCCUCUGAACCUUGAGUUAUUGAUAUGUGAAGGAUAGAAUGCAAGUGACAGCUCCUUCUCCUGAAGAUGAACGCCAGUGAAGUGUACCUCGGAGGAAGCAGUGGUUCCUGGCUCCCAUGGCUCCGAUUGAACCUAAGUCAUCCAGAAAGAAGGGACAUCAAAUCAAGAGCUACCUUGACCAUGACUCUGGAAUGUUUUUCUGACUGUUGAAGGGAGAGUCCAGCCCACUGUGAACGGUGUCAUACUUGACAGUUUUCAAGAAGCUGAAUGAGCAGGGGCCAGAGAGAGCAAGCUGGUAAGCAGCAUCCCUUGAUGGCUCCUGCUCUAAGUUCCUGUCCUGGCUUCCCUCAUCAAGGACUAUUGCAUUUGCUCAUGGUGUUUACCACAACAACAGAAAGCAAAUUAGAAUAAUGUUACAAUACUCUAAAGUACAUUUUCAUUCAUUUAAAAAAUAAACAGCAUAUAUAUGGAAAAUAAAACUGAUUUUUGAAACUUAUUCUAGUUUACUUUUUAGUUCUAUAAAAAAGACCAUGUCCAAAAGCAACCUGGAAAGCAGUUUAUUUGGCGUAUGUGUCUUGCAUCACAGCCCACCCAGGGACACCAAGGCAGGAACUCAAGGCAGGAACCUGGAAGCAGGAACUGAAGCAGAGGCCGUUAAAAAGCCUGCUCCAUGGCUUGCUCUCAGCAUCCUUCCUAGCUCCCACAGAACAACCCAUUAAGUUCUAAGCACACAACAGCUUUGCCAGCCCAAAGUUCCAAAGUCUUUCCACAAUCCCCCCCACAACAACCCACCUGGCCUGUCAAAGCAGUACCCUCCUCACAGCCCCGGUCUGUCCUAGUUUACUUCUCUGUUGUGCAAUAAACACCAUAACCAAAAGCAAUACAAGGAGCAAAGGCUUGAUGUGAAAUACAGGUCACAAUCCAUCCCCAAGGAAAGCCAAGUCAAGAACUCAAGCAAGAACCUAGAGAAGGAACCUGACCCAAAGGCCAUAGAGGAAGGCUAUUCACUGGUCUUCUCACCAUGGCGCUC